rnacentral:rRNA from 1 species
UACGUAGGGUGCGAGCGUUAAUCGGAAUUACUGGGCGUAAAGCGUGCGUAGGCGGCUUUGUAAGACAGGCGUGAAAUCCCCGGGCUCAACCUGGGAAUUGCGCUUGUGACUGCAAGGCUGGAGUGCGGCAGAGGGGGAUGGAAUUCCGCGUGUAGCAGUGAAAUGCGUAGAUAUCAGAAGGAACAUCAGUGGCGAAGGCGGCUUCCUGGACCAAUACUGACGAUCAGGUGCGAAAGCGUGGGGAGCAAACAGG